AGGGUUUUCGUUCUCAAUUUCUCACGAUCGUUCCAGUUCCACGACCAUGGUUCCCAUUAGCGCUUCAAUCCAAUCUCCUUCUGCGCCAUCAUUUCGCGUUCAAUCCAUGCAUCAAUGCAGGUUUUAGAUCACAUUCCACUCUUCAAGUAUCUCUUGGCUUCAGUAUCUCCACCCAGAUUUCAACGAUGUUCAAAUCAAAUCUAACACAACUUGUCCUCGCAAACAUCUUACUAGUUUUUUUUUGUGAUUUGUGUUGCUGCUGUGGUGGUUGAAAAGCAUGUGGAAAUUGACAAGUUUUUUCAGUUCUAGUGGUCGGUAUUCUGAUCAAAGGAGGUCUCCCCCACGUUAUUCUCGCUAUUCCUGAUCUCCACCUCGUCAUAGAACCCACUCUCUAUCUCUAAGAGAGACUAUAGUGUCUGAACUACUGGCUGUGCAAAGUGAGCUUUCCAAGGCAAAGCAGGGCUCUUAGUCUUACCUAUUGAGAUUAUAUGUUGAUGGAUUUGCUGCAAGUCCAGAUCAUUGGAGGUCAAAGCAAGUAUCAAAAGAAUCUACUUAUAAAGAUUUUUAUGCUAUGUUUAGCUUCGGCAAUACCAGAUCAGCCAAAAAUGAUGGUUUUCUUGCCGACACUUCAAAUAAUAAAUCUAAUCCAAAUAAUGUGAAGGAAAUGAGAAAUUGACCAAUCACUUGGUUCUUCAUCAUUUCUGAGCAUAGAUAGCUUGAACAGAAACCCAAAAAAAGCAAAGAAAAACAAGAAAGAUGCCGAGAUUGAUGGAAAUGAAGACGACUCUAGUAGGAAAAAGAAAAAGUCUAAGAAGGAAAAGGUUGAGAGUGGAUAUGAUAAUGCUGCUACUGAGGUAGACAGGAAAACUACAAAGAAAACGGAGUCAAGUUAAAUAUCUCCCAUACUUCUAAGUUUUUUAUCCUUAUAGGUAUCCCAAAAUUUAACCUUAUAGGUAUCCUUAUUGUCACAACUCAAUUAUUUGCUUAUGGGUUGGUUGGUGCAUUGGAUUAAGGAAUAGCCUGUUCUGUUGAUUGAAUCUUUUCUGCCUAUUGAGUUUACUGAUUAAACAGUUUACCUUUAGUGGUCAUGGCCCAUAUAAUUCUCAGAAAUAGUUUUGAUUCUCACUGUUUAGGCUUGUUGUUCUAUUGAGUGUAUUAUAUUCAGUUGUGAAAUUUACAUUUGUUUGCAAUUUAAUCAGGUUGUGGAUGCAGUGCAAGCUGUUAAGAUGACCAAUGCUCGCGGUGAAAUUAGAUAUCCAAUCAAGGUUGGUAUUAGAUUUUGUCUGAUAUCUUUUCUUGGCGUUGUGAAAUGCACCGGAUCUCCAGCCACAACAGAUGGUCGUACGAAAUCCUCCGUAUCCACCAUCGUGAAUCCUCUAUGUACGAAACCGAUAGAUCUUGGUGGAUCUCUAAGUAGAGAUGCAAUUACAGGAAGAGGAGUCCUCUUUGCAACCGGCUGGUUCAAGUAUUGCGUACAAGGUGUUUGAUAAAUGUUUACACCGGCUGGUUCAGGUUUUGCUUCUAUUGUUAUUGGAAGCGUUGCUAGGAACUUAGUUAUUGAUAAAAUGGUUUUUAUUGCUUUAAGAUGAUUGUUGUUGUUAGUGCCAAUGCAUUGUAAUCUUCAGGUAAUGAAUUAUAUGAUUAUGUAUUUUAUCUUUUUUAAAUUCAGCUAUUGUAUAUUGAUGUUAUCACAUGUAAUAAUGAUUAAUCGUUCUGUUCUGAUUUACAGGAUAAAUGGUCAUCUGCUUAUGAUGUAAGAACGAUUCUUCUAUCUAUUCAAAGCCUGCUAGGAGAGCCAAACAUUAGAUCUUCGCUGAAUCCACAAGCAGCGCUACUUUGGAGCAAUCUUGAAGAACACAGGAAGAUGGUGGAGAAGUUGUACAAAUCCCCUGUGGCUUAAUUUAGAUCUCAGAGUUCUCAUGGAUUUUAUUUCUCUAUGCCUGGCAUGGUCAAGUUUGGAAAAGAGAAGUUGUUCAAAAACUGUUGCAAAGGUGAUAUUGCAAAACCUUUUGUUCUUAUUAACUGCAUCUAUUAUGUUACUGCCAGUGGACCAUAUAUCCAUUAGCUUGCAACCUAAAUAAAUCACCCAUUUUGAGUGUGUAUUUUAAUAUUCUUGAAGAAGCAAGCAGAACAAAAAUAACUAUUACGACCUAGUGUGAGAUUAAAGCGUGAUUUUGUUGGAAUUCUGGCUGCAUUCAAAUUCAAAGGUCCCCCUCAUCAGUUUCUUAUUGUAGCCAAUACACAUAUUUAUUGGUAAUGAAGUGACUUCCAAGUUUGUUCUUUCUCAUCUGUUGACUUGAAAUGAAUUUUUUACUCAAUGUGCAUAUGGGUUUUGCGUAACUUUAACUGUAGAAUUUAUAACUGUAGAAUUUAUAAAUUAAAUACAAAUGAAGCAUAUGUUGAAAGGGAAUAAAGUAUGUAAGAAUUUAACACUAAAAUGCCAGCAAUAUAAGAAUAUAAGAUGAUCAAAACAUUUUAAAUAAUAAUUUUAUUUUUAUAUAAUAUAUAAUUUAUAUUAAUUUCGUAGCAGAUUUUACAGUAACUUAU